rnacentral:rRNA from 1 species
UACGUAGGGAGCAAGCGUUGUCCGGAAUCAUUGGGCGUAAAGCGCGCGUAGGCGGCCUCAUAAGUCCGUUGUGAAAGUCAAAGGCUCAACCUUUGAAAGCCGAUGGAUACUGUGAGGCUAGAGUCCGGAAGAGGCGAGUGGAAUUCCUGGUGUAGCGGUGAAAUGCGCAGAUAUCAGGAGGAACACCAAUGGCGAAGGCAGCUCGCUGGGACGUGACUGACGCUGAGACGCGAAAGCGUGGGGAGCAAACAGG